rnacentral:rRNA from 1 species
AUUGAACGCUGGCGGCAGGCCUAACACAUGCAAGUCGAGCGGAGCGGCGGACGGGUGAGUACUGACUAGGGAUCUGCCUGGUAGUGGGGGAUCACGUCCGGACACGGGCGACAAUACCGCAUACUAUCAGAUGAGCUUAGGUUGGAUUAGCUAGUUGGUGGGGUAAAGGCCUACCAAGGCGACGAUCCGUAACUGGUCUGAGUGGCUGAUCAGUCACACUGGGACGGAGACACGGUCCAGACUCCGACGGGAGGCAGCAGUGGGGAAUAUUGGGCAAUGGGCGAAAGCCUGACCCAGCCAUGCCGCGUGUGUGAAGAAGGUCUUCGGAUUGUAAAGCACUGUGAGUUGGGAGGCGUUACCAACAGAAUAAGCACCGGCUAACUUCGUGCCAGCAGCCGCGGUAAUUC